rnacentral:rRNA from 1 species
GAUUAACGCUAGCGGCAGGCCUAAUACAUGCAAGUCGAACGGCAGCGGGUCCAGCAAUGGAUGCCGGCGAGUGGCGCACGGGUGCGUAACACGUAUGCAAUCUACCCUUAACUGGGGGAUAGCCCCGAGAAAUCGGGAUUAAUACCCCAUAAUAUUAUGAAGUGGCAUCAUUUUAUAAUUAAAGUUCCGACGGUUUUGGAUGAGCAUGCGCGACAUUAGCUAGUUGGCGAGGUAACGGCUCACCAAGGCUGCGAUGUCUAGGGGUUCUGAGAGGAUUCACCCCCACACUGGUCCUGAGACACGGACCAGACUCCGACGGGAGGCAGCAGUAAGGAAUAUUGGUCAAUGGACGCAAGUCUGAACCAGCCAUGCCGCGUGAAGGAAGACGGCCCUACGGGUUGUAAACUUCUUUUGUACGGGAAAAAACCACCGGUCGUGAAUCGGUGCUGAUGGUACCGUAAGAAUAAGCAUCGGCUAACUCCGUGCCAGCCGCCGCAGUAA